rnacentral:misc_RNA from 1 species
AACACUGUUAACCUGCGGUACCUGCGGAAGGAUCAUUACCGAGUUUACAACUCCCAAACCCCUGUGAACAUACCUAUACGUUGCCUCGGCGGAUCAGCCCGCGCCCCGUAAAAAGGGACGGCCCGCCCGAGGACCCCUAAACUCUGUUUUUAGUGGAACUUCUGAGUAAAACAAACAAAUAAAUCAAAACUUUUAGCAAUGGAUCU